CCAAACCCUGGGCUCUACCGAAUGCUGCCUGGAAGAAAAGAAGCCAGGGCUUACUUAUCCACAAGAAACUGGCAAAUAAUUAUUCUAAGAUGGGAAGAUUCACCUUAUUGCUCAUUAGCUAACACAAGGGAUGGAGUCACUGGAUUGUGUGAGAAUUGGAACUUUACAUUAAGACCCAUGAUCUGAAGCUUCUUCUUUGCAAAAAUUCCCGAACCAAGAAGCAACAUUGAAACUUUGUCACCUGGAUGUGUGUAAGGACUUGGGGUAAGUACAACUACAGGAUGAACCAAUCAUCACCCUGUAAUCUUCUUUAGCACUCCACAUCAAUAGGAGCAAAUAAUAAUUUGUGCAACUUUUCUCUGAUAGCACCUAACACCACUGUAAUUUGAUAAAUACUUUGUGUGGCCUGGCAUGCUGCAGUCCAAGGGUCACAAAGAGUCGGACAUGAUCGAGCGACUGAACUGAACUGAACUGUGUAAUUUCUUACCCAAUAAGUCUCCUCCAGAAAACUAGCGUUGUGAUCACAGAGACUUGGACUUGUUUUGCUCACUCGCAUCCCUAGCACCUGGCACGGAGCCUGGCACACAGUGCUCAGGGAAGUCUCACUCAUUAAUACAGGAGAAUGGGAAUUAUGGUUGCACAGGAUGCUAGUUUCCUGCCCCCUAAGAAAUUUCUCUUUCAGAAUCAGUUUGUGAAUAGAUUGCUCACACCCACCAUGGGAAUUCUGAGUUCCUUCACCUGGGUUCAAAGAGGAUUAAGUAACCAUAAGAUGCACAAGGAAACUCAGGAAGUUGCAGAUAUCCUGCCAUGUUUAAGUCUCAAGUCAACAGUCAACAGACACAGGCUGUCUAUACUAGUUGAGGAGAAGCGUGAUGGACAGCUCUACAAGACCCCCAUUCUGCUUCGCUGAUAACUACCACCCUAGACACUGCAGGCAAGUAUGCACUGAGAUUAAAUGCCCUGCUUCUGACAGAGAAGAAUUAUCAGAAGCCUGUAUUCUGAAGGAUAUUGACUGGGACUUGAGAAAAUAGCGGAGGAAGGGACAUACAGGAGAACAGGUAAAAGGAGAGAAAAAUCUUAAGGGAGAAAGAAAAGUGAGUCCACCAGUGUUUAACCAAUCAAUCAAGGUAUAUUUUCAUCCUGACUUACAAAGUACUCCUUCUUCAAAGAUGAAGCAUCUUUCUUAAAUCCUCACCUAAUAUUUGAGUAAUACAAUGCGGAUGAAAUCAAUUUUUCAUAUUUUAUAGAGCCAAAGAAGCUACAAUGAGUUUGUAAGAAUCCAGAAUGAUUCAAAAUAUCAGAGGUUUUGGAGAUGGGAUGGAUCUUCCAGAAACCUUCCCAUUCAAAUGCUUGACUUUGGAUAACGCUUCAUUUCCCCCAUUUUAUAGAUAACACAAGCUAGUUCUAGGACUGAGAUUCUGUGAGAAAUGUGUGGAGGACCUGAAAAGAGCAUAACCUGGUCCACUAAACACAGUGCUUGGCAAAACUAUGCCCAUGACUCAGAUAAGCUAGGACCUUAUCCAAGUGACCCAGUGAUUCCCAGACUCAUCAGAAUUUAUUUCAAAAACUUAGUAACUGAUUUCUAGAAGCCAGUUUCUGUUCAAAACACUUUAAUCCUCACAACAAGCUGGUGAAGUAAAUACAAUCAGCAUUUUUAUUUUACUAGUGAAAAAAAAAAUACAGAGAGGUCAAGUACAUUUCUUGAAACUGCACAGCUAAGAUGUAGCCAACCAAUUCUUAAAGUUGGCACUCAGAUAAUUCAGACCUCCCCUUUAUGGAAGGAGGCGUUACCAAUACCCCUUUCAUACUCGCAUUGCUCCAAAAGAACAGGCUGGCUUUAGCACUUAUGAGAGGUUAUAUCAGAGACCACUUGUUUAUGUUGAUGGCCUCUUUUUAGAUCCAGAGACUCAAACCCUUCUAAAUUACACUAUGGUCACUGGGCAAUUCCAAUAAGAAAUGUGACUGUGGGGUCUCACCCAGGGCCCAAAAGAAUCUGAGGGACCUCCACUAUAUACUGCUACCUACUCAUUAAGGUUUAGAAAGAUGCGUCCCCAAAAGCUCAACUCCAGCCCACACGGAAGGGCCUUACCCCAUAAUACUCUCGACCUCCACAGCAGCCAAGCUGCCAAGGCAUGACGCCUGGAUUCACCACUCUCAAGUAAAGUCGUGGAAUAAAACAGGAGAAGAUUCCCGAUGUACCUGAGAGCCUCUGGAAGACCGAUACCUAUUCAGGACUACAGGUGAGGGUCAUUCUGAUGAAUAUCCAAAAGGUUAAGCUCCUGGGGAUAAGCUUUCUUGGGAUGGCGCUUGCAUUCAGUGUGGUCUACCUCGUUGCCUCUCUCUUGGUUUGUGUUAGUCAGGGAGAUCCUAUCCUUUUCAUGUCUGUUAUCGGCCCCCAUAAGACCAUACGCAGGACACCCCAAUCUGGCUCAUGUAUCUCUGGUGCUGUCACUCUUAUAUACACUCGUUAAGUCCAGCCACCACAGAAAUCAUGAACACGCUCAAUAAGGCUAGCUGUGGUAUGUCCUAACCCAAUUCUUAAAAAGCUGACUGAUACCAAUAGGUCAGGACUGAGCACCAAAAACUUAUUCGAAACUAAUCAAAUCCUGGACAAGGUCACCACAGCAACCUGGUUCCAGCCAGUCAAGGAUGCGGCCCUACCGUGCAUCUGGCCUAUAAUUCUGUUGGCUCCCUCUUUCCUCAACCUACUUAGUUUACUCCUCAGGUCAGCUUCUGAUACAGCAUAGAUAUCAACCCCUGACCCCUCUGAUGACUUCCUCACGCCACUCCCCCUUGGACAGACAGCAGCUGCCCUUACUGGCCUCUCUCAUUGACAGCUACCAAGUGCUGGACACCCAAGGCACCUCACUGCCCCAACUCAGCAGGAAGUAGCCAGAAUGAAUGACACCCAUUUCUCCAACGAAUUGGGGUCCAUACAACUUGAGGGGGGACUGUCAGGUAGGAAGUUAAACAUGAGCAACUUGAAGGGAGGCCUGGCUGAAAAGGGAUGUAAACUCAUCUCUAAACUCCAUCCCAGACACACCCAGAAGAGCUCACAGAUAUACUACAAAAUAGCCACAGAGACUUUUCAACUCCUGCACAUGGCCCUAGGCACACCGAGGAUACAAAAGGACCACAGGGGCUUCUCCUAGUAACCUCAGGCAGUUAGGAGACCAUUAAGGACUCAUGAAUACCCUACAUCUAACAGAAUUAUGGGAAGACAUAAACAACACAGCCAGCCGUUAGACAGUUUAUAAUUGUCAAUCAGCCUUGAGCGUAUGCCCAUUUGCAUUGAUGGGUGGCGGGUACAAGCCCGAUUUGACCUGGGCUUAAUCAAAAGGAAACGUAAAAAGGGGAAGCCAAGAGGGAUGGACAGAGUGAGGAGGACUCCUCUGGGGGUGCUUGAGUUGAACUGAGCCGUAACUUUUCUGCUGUUCCACAACUUUGGUCCACCACUCCAAAUUUUUGUUGCGACAAGAACCGAGGAAAAGAAAUAAACCAACCUGACAGUUCUAUAAUAGUGUUUGCAUAGUAAUCACUGUUAGUACAGUUAGCAUUCUUUCUUAGUGAGGGCUGGAAGGGUUCUUUCUUAGUGAGAGUUAGGGAUGUGGGACCUCAUGGUCAUCUCUGCUAAAAAGAUGGCUCAUAUCGAGAAUAUUGAGAUCCUUUACACAAUUGGCGAAGGCCACUUCGGCAAAGUGAAGUUUGCCUAGCAUGUUCUCACCAGGGGAGUGCUAGCUGCUAGCUAUUAGGUAAUAAAGAAGACAAAUCAGAGGUUCUCCAGGCUCCAGGAACUGUUUUGAGAGGUUAACAGCAUGAAAAUCUUGAAACACCCGUAUAUUGUGAAACUACUGGAAGUUAUCAAUACAGAGGACACUCUGUUUAUAGUAAUGGAGUACCUCAGUGGGGGAAACAUAUUCACCUACUUGGAGGCCCAAGGCUGCCUGACGGAGGGGGAGGCCCGAGGCGCGUUCCGCCAGCUGGUCUCGGCUCUCCAGCACUGCCACCAGCGGGGCGUGGUUCACCGGGACAUGAAGCUGAGCAGCCUUCUCCUUGAUGCCAACAAUAUCAAGAUUUCAGACUUCAGCCUUAGCAAACACUGGCACCCAAGAAAGAAGCUAGACACAUUCUGCGGCAGCCCCCUGUUCACGUCCCCAGAACUCUUCCUGAGGCUGCCUUGCACAGCCCCAGAGGUGGAUGUGUGGAGCCUCGGCGUCGUCCAUAGUACACCUCGGCGUACACCAUAGUAACUGGAUCCCUCCCCUUCAGGGGACAAGAUUUCUGGGAGCUGCGGUGCAUCCCUAGAGGGCAAUACUAUGUGCCCAAAUAUCUAUGAAAUGAAGUAACACAUUUAAUACAGAGGAUGUUAACGCUCAACCCUACCAACAGAGGGACUUUAGAUGAUGUUUGGCAGCACCCAUGGGUGAACACGGGCCAGGAGGAGCCACUCCCGCCAGUCUGUGAAGAGCACCCUGGGGUGACAGUGGGGAUGAUACUGGGCUGGUGAAGGGACCAGAUCCAGGGCUGGCUUACAAGCAGUGGCAGUGACACGGACGAACCCAAGGUGGGGGCCCGCACCAUCAUUGUGAGGCCAGCCAUUUCCUCCGACCUCAGCAGCCAAGAACAUACGCCUCCCGCCAGCCCUGAAGUGUCCAUGCUUAUUCCCGACUGGCUUUGGGAUACCAUUCAGCAGCAGGAGAACCAGGAGUCAAGGAGAAGAUCAGAGAGCCUGCCACUCCCCCACCCUGCCUGGAAGCGAGGACCGUCACCCCCAGCUCAGCCCCCUGCACUCAAAACACCCAUGAUGACAGCAUCGCCCGAGCCACCGAUCACGCCGGUGACCGCCACGACACGUGCGGGGCCAGGCUCACCUGUGACACCUGCGGCAGGCGUGACAGCAGCCAUGCCCGUGAUACCAGCAUUACGCAGGACACCAGAGACGCCUGCGACACCAGCAGCGCCUGCGACAGCUGCGAUACCAGUGGUGCCAGCUUCACCUGUGACGCCUGCAGCACCUGUGAGACCAGCUUCACCUGUGAUACCAGCCUCAGCCAUGACGCCCUAAGCACCCAGGACAGCACUGGGGCCUGCAGCACAGAAGACGCCCGUGGCACCGUGAUACCUGUGGUGCCAGUGGCUGCAGUGACACCAGGGGCACCCAGGCACAGAUGGCACCUCUGGCACCUGUGAGGCCCAAGGGGCUGGGGCGCCCAUGGCACCACAUCACCCGUGCACCCAUGUCGCCCUCAACACUCACAGAACCCACGGCACGCACGGUAACCACAUCACCUGUGACACGUGCAACACCAAUGGCACCCAUGACAUCAGCGGUGAACUCCCAGAAGGAACCCACUGCUCCCCGAUGUGCCUGAUGCCAGAAGCUCCACCCCUGUUGGGCAGCCCGAGAAUAUGUCCACAGUCACUCCCCCUGGCCUCACCCAGAAAAAGAAGAGGGUGUCUGGGAGAAUCUGGAGAUGUAUAUUUAAACUUCUUUGCUGUGGGCUGCCCAGCAAGAGGGGUAAAAAUAAAGUGAGCCCAGAAACACCCAGUGGAUGACCUGCCAAGCCCCCUGGGACCUGGGCAUGUUCCCACCUGGAUGAGGAGGCUCAAACCCAGCACCUCCACCCCUUCAGGAAGCCUCCUGUCCAAAACCCUGGCCAGCACAGAGAAUGCUCUGGAGGGGCCUGGGCAACCAGAAGAGGCACCACCCUGGCCUGGCUGCCCCUCCUCCCCUGCUGGGUGAAACUUCAGAGACUAGACUGUCUCCUGGGGCAUGUCCCCAUCCCCCACACUUCUGUCUUUCAUGUGGUUGGGGGAGGGGAUAAUUCUUGCCAACUCCUUUCUUGUUUCUUCAUAGUCUUAAUAAACUUUAUGCUCCAGAAAGAUGUAUCACACUCUGUUUUGCAUUCUCUCUGGUUAGAGUAGUGUGUAGUCAUG